CAACAAAAGCAUAUAGAAUUAUAUGCAACAUGUUUUUGAUGGAUCUAAAAGAAUAAGGACAAAGCAAAAGUUCAUCAAGGUAAACGGAACACUCGUAUAGGGUAGCUUCAAAGUACAAUGGCAACGGAAAAAAAUUAAAGGGAAGUGCUAAAAGGGUCACAUGGAGAAAGUUUGUUUGUCAAAAAAAGGUCCAUGGAGAAUAACUUUACUACUUCCAAAAGUGAAGAGGAAUGGGAUUUUGAGCAUUCUUUGCGGUAGAAAAGGAGUAGCUAGCUCUUACAGC
rnacentral:lncRNA from 1 species